UGAGGAAUAUUGGACAAUGGUCGCUAGACUGAACCAGCCAAGUAGCGUGCGGGAUGAAGGCCCUCCGGGUCGUAAACCGCCUUUAGACGGGGAUAAAAGGGCGUACGUGUACGCCGUAUUGCAUGUACCGUCAGAAAAAGGACCGGCUAAUUCCGUGCCAGCAGCCGCGGUAAUACGGAAGGUCCGGGCGUUAUCCGGAUUUAUUGGGUUUAAAGGGAGCGUAGGCGGACUUUCAAGUCAGUGGUAAAAUCGUGUGGCUCAACCAUACCUCGCCAUUGAAACUGGAAGUCUGGAGUGCACACAGGGGUGCCGGAAUUCAUGGUGUAGCGGUGAAAUGCUUAGAUAUCAUGAAGAACUCCGAUCGCGAAGGCAAGUGCCCGGGGUGCAACUGACGCUGAGGCUCGAAGGUGCGGGUAUCGAACAGGAUUAGAUACC
rnacentral:rRNA from 1 species